AGUUCUGAGGCUUAGUUGUUCAAAGCGCAGGUCUAACGAGUACGGAGUCGUGGGUUCGAAUCCCACCAAAACGC
rnacentral:tRNA from 1 species